AAGCUUUCCAAAUUUAGGAACAUGA
rnacentral:piRNA from 1 species